rnacentral:rRNA from 1 species
AUUGAACGCUGGCGGCAUGCUUUACACAUGCAAGUCGAACGGUAACAGGCCUUCGGGUGCUGACGAGUGGCGAACGGGUGAGUAAUGCAUCGGAACGUACCCAGAGGUGGGGGAUAACGCAGCGAAAGCUGUGCUAAUACCGCAUGUGAUCUGAGGAUGACAGCGGGGGACCGAGCAGCAAUGUUUGGCCUCGCGCCUUUGGAGCGGCCGAUGUCGGAUUAGCUAGUUGGUGGGGUAAAGGCCUACCAAGGCGACGAUCCGUAGCUGGUCUGAGAGGACGACCAGACACACUGGGACUGAGACACGGCCCAGACUCCUACGGGAGGCAGCAGUGGGGAAUUUUGGACAAUGGGCGCAAGCCUGAUCCAGCAAUGCCGCGUGCGGGAAGAAGGCCUUCGGGUUGUAAACCGCUUUUGGCAGGAACGAAACGGUGUCCGCUCAUACCGGGCGCUAAUGACGGUACCUGAAGAAUAAGCACCGGCUAACUACGUG